GACCUCCCAAUUCUUACCACAGGCUGUGUUCUUUACACUGACUGUAUAGGAAGAGGAAGAGCAGUAAAUGCACCCCUUAUACACUUCAACACAGGCCUGAAAAAAAAAAAAAGAAAAAGAAAACAAAA